UACGGGGGGGGUAAGCGUUGUUCGGAAUCACUGGGCGUAAAGGGCGCGUAGGCGGCCCUCCUUGUCGCGUGUGAAAGCCCCGGGCUCAACCUGGGAACGGCGCGCGAGACGGGGGGGCUGGAGUUCGGGAGAGGAGCGUGGAAUUCCCAGUGUAGAGGUGAAAUUCGUAGAUAUUGGGAAGAACACCGGUGGCGAAGGCGGCGCUCUGGACCGAGACUGACGCUGAGGCGCGAAAGCGUGGGGAGCAAACAGG
rnacentral:rRNA from 1 species